rnacentral:lncRNA from 1 species
UCUCAAAUUACAAAGUUCUCUGUCUGUAUUAGGCUGUUGUCAUAUAACAGGACAAAUCUGCUGCCAGAGAUGCCUGCCUCUCUCUUUCUUCAUGAACUAUGAAGACAGUGAAUGAGCAGUUCUGAAACUAAGCUUCCUUUGAAAAUCUGCAGUAGGAACUGUAAAGUGUACUGUAAAUGCCACCCCUUUUCAGGUAGUGCUUCUGAUGAAAAAAAAAAAAAAAAAAAAAAAAGUAUUUCUUGAAAGAAAGGAAGGAAAUGCUCCCUACAGCUCUAAGGAGCCAGACCCCUGUGAUUCAUGAUGUUACUUCAGUAGUAGACCAUUUCACUUCAUUUCACUUCUCCAGCUUUUGAUAGGCUUCAAUGCAUUGUCUCCUGAUGUUCCUGAAAGUAUGAAGUAUUUUCUGCUAUUUCAAGGUGUUCUCUAGCCUGUCUGCUACAAUAUGAAGAAGGACUCAGUGGCAGCAUUGAAUAAUUAUUUACAGAAGAGACUGGCAAAUAAUUGUGGAACAGAGAUGCAUAAAGAAACCUUUCUAAAGGGAGCAGUGGAUCUGUUCUUAAGACUGAUGACAAUUUCCUGGCUCUCCAUGGUAUUACUCCUGUCUAAAACACUAUUCUGUAUGUCAUUUCCUACUGCAUGUUUUUCUUUACCUCAAGUCUACUCUUCCCUAGUUUUCUCAUGUAAUAAAGCAC